GAUGAACGCUAGCUACAGGCUUAACACAUGCAAGUCGAGGGGAAACGACAUCGAAAGCUUGCUUUUGAUGGGCGUCGACCGGCGCACGGGUGAGUAACGCGUAUCCAACCUGCCCACCACUUGGGGAUAACCUUGCGAAAGUAAGACUAAUACCCAAUGACGUCUCUAGAAGACAUCUGAAAGAGAUUAAAGAUUUAUCGGUGAUGGAUGGGGAUGCGUCUGAUUAGCUUGUUGGCGGGGUAACGGCCCACCAAGGCGACGAUCAGUAGGGGUUCUGAGAGGAAGGUCCCCCACAUUGGAACUGAGACACGGUCCAAACUCCUACGGGAGGCAGCAGUGAGGAAUAUUGGUCAAUGGGCGAGAGCCUGAACCAGCCAAGUAGCGUGCAGGAUGACGGCCCUAUGGGUUGUAAACUGCUUUUAGUUGGGAAUAAAAGGCGGUACGUGUACCGCGUAUUGUAUGUACCAUCAGAAAAAGGACCGGCUAAUUCCGUG
rnacentral:rRNA from 1 species